AGGCUCGUAGGUUAAUGGUAGACCAGAGGUCUCCAAAACCUCUAGUGGAGGUCCGAUUCCUCCCGAGCCUG
rnacentral:tRNA from 1 species